AACCCAUGGUGAGGGCACCUUCUCAACAGUUCAUUGUAUCUCUCACAUGCAUCGUAGAGUGUUUCUAAAUCCAUCUGCACAAAACAGGAGAUAUCAUUACGUAAUUU
rnacentral:snoRNA from 1 species